rnacentral:tmRNA from 1 species
GGGGGCGAGUCAGGUUCGACGGGGGUGGUAUGGGUACGGGUGGCAGGUCGAGUUCCAUGGCUCGUAAAACCAUGGGCCUAAUUUAAACGCAAACGAUAACUACGCUCUAGCUGCCUAAUUAGUGCAGCUACAUCCGCCCGCACCUUGCCUGUGGGUACGGAACCGGGUGUCAUUUUAGCAGGCUACCACACCUUCCUGGCCCGGUGAAGGGGUGGGAACUUUACGGGCUGGUUCCCGGAGCAUCCAGCCGUCGGGAGGCUUCGGGAAUGAAAACAAAAACUACGGCUAAGCCUGUAGAAGCUCGUACGUGUACACCUUCGGACGGGGGGUGCAACUCCCCCCCGCCUCCACCA